GACGAACUGUGCAAACGUUAUUCGGAAUCACUGGGCUUGAAGAGUGCGUAGGCGGUUUCGUAAGUAGGGUGUGAAAGCCCCCAGCUCAACUGGGGAACUGCGUCCUAAACUGCGAGGCUGGAGUGAGGUAGGGGUGUGUGGAACUUCCGGUGGAGCGGUGAAAUGUGUUGAUAUCGGAAGGAACGCCGGUGGCGAAAGCGACACACUGGGCCUUGUCUGACGCUGAGGAGCGAAAGCGUGGGGAGCGAACAGG
rnacentral:rRNA from 1 species